AUUAUCGUACUUAUGGCCCGCUCGCGCUUUCUUUGUUCCCGGCUCAUGACAAAGCCUCUGAUAAUAUCGCAUCGGAUCACAGUGCACGGAAGAAUUUGUUGAGGUAAUACGUGCUGUAGUUCAUCCGCAAUUCAACAGUGUUUACGUCGGAAGGAUCGUCGUGCAGUCGACGCCGGGACCUGACAUGAAGGAGCGUUUGCCGACUACGCCUAGAAAGGGAUGUCAAGAUUUCGUGAACCAGAGGCAUCUCUACACCGCAUAGGAACCUAAGACAUUUCUGCAGCCGGAACAGCAUGGCAAAGCAUCUGAUCUGCAUGCUGCGACAAGGUAUGGCUGGGCCUGGAGAUGAAGUGUAAGCAGACCAUGCUAUGCUGCUGAUUGGUACCAAUCUUCACAUCCGAGUUGUUCCCAUGACAGUCAAGCACCACUGUGAUUUGCUUCAUUGGCAAGGUGCCCUGCAAGCUCUCACCAAAGCAACACAUUCCCCUG